GUUUUGCAAUUGGUUUUCCUUUAAUAGCUAUAAAUUAAAAAAAAAAGAAAUACUAAAUCUAAAUAUCAAAUAAACAUUUAUAAGUAUUUGUAAAUAAUGUUUAUGUCAUAUAACAAAAAAUUAUAUCAAUAUAUUAUUAAUAUAUUAUGAUAGAUCAGUUUUUCCCAAAGUGUGUUCCGCGAAAACCUAUUGUUCCGCUAGGCCUGAAUUGGUGUUCCACGAACUAUUGGAGUAAUUAUUGAGUAAGGCUACAGGUGAAUUAAUUAUAAUGUAAUACAACGACAAAAAAUAUAUAUAUAAUUUAAUUUUAUCACUAUUCUCCAUAACGGAAAAAAUGUACAACAACAUGACUUUGAACUUUGAACUGAUCGAGAUUGUGACUUUACUUUGAAAUAAAAAACAAAGAUCAUCCAUUACAUAGUUUCAGAUGGAGUUUGUCUGAAGAGUACUAAACUAUUUCAACACAUGGACUAGCUUACGUUUGCAUCAUACAAUCUAUUUGUGCCAAGCAGUGGUGUAGCUAGGGUGGGGGAGGAGGGGAAAAAAUUUAAAAUCCUCCCGCCCCCCCCCC